AGAGGGCGCGGACCGGGCGGGGGGCCGGGUCCGCUGGGGACGGGGUGCCGCGCCGCGACCCGCCGGGCGGCACAAGGGGCCCGGCCGGGGAGCGCGGCCAGCUCGCCCCCACGGGCCGCCCGGGGACGGGGGUGCGGCGGGGGUCGCCCCUCAGCAGCGUGCCCGGAGUGCGGCCUGGCCCCGCGUUUCGCCCCUGCUGCUGCCCCGGGGCUCGGGUGACAGAGCGCCGCGGGCCACCGUUUCCAGCCGCCCUCGCCCGCGCAGAACCCCGCUUCUGGGGAGAAGGCAGCAGGGUUGGGGCCUGCCCGGCCUCGGCCCUGCCGCCAGGCGCCCAGGGCCCCAGAGCAGCGGCCGCGCCAUCGCGACCCCCGCCGCGCCCGGCGGCACGCGUUCACCGCGCGCUCGGCCUUCGGGCCUCUCCCCGGAGCUCUUCUCCCUUCGGCCGGGAGAUAAAGCGGUGCCGCGGCUCCAGCCCGCCCUGGCCCCCGGUCCCCGCCAGCCGCGCAAGGUCCCAGCCCUGGGCACGCACAGGGGUCACGCGUGUGCGGUUGCUCCACUGCCCGUCGCUCUGCGCGGCGAGGAGGUUGUCGCAAGGGCAGACUUCAGUGCUACUGUGCUGCAGUUGAUAAAUACUUGCUCACUUAGAAGAUUUUUACACUUCUUCAGCUCUGAGCUAUCACACAGUUACAGAAGAUAGCAUGGAGGCACCAGAGCCAUAGACAGAGCAAAGUUGUUAUUUAACCUUCCCCUCAGCCUUCAUCCACAGAACGCAGGCCAGCAAAGUACAGGCCUUGCUGUGACCAACAAUAAACAAAACGACUGAACUUGUUCUGUAAUCUUCAACCAACUAAGCGGUACAGGAUUUAGUCAACAUGAGGAAGAUCAAGGAAGACCUGAAUGCUGCAGAGAUAGAUCAUUGCCCCUCUGCCUGAUGACAGCAGACUUUCUUGGUCCACUGCCCAACGGAGAGAGAUUGAUGAUGAAAUGCCUGGGCAUAUUCUGCAUGUAAAAUAUUUUAUUUACAUAUGGAUUGUCUAUAUGAGGUGCUAGCAGGUCUCUAACAAGGCAGUUUCUGUCAUGCUUGCAAUGUUUCGUGUGUCUAUCCCUCAGCGCUCCUGGGAGGUGCAGAAGUGCUGAUGCAGAGAAAGGCUAAUUGGUUAAAUCCACAGAGAGACUUACAUCCUGACGUGCCAUGUAAGGCACCUACACACAAAAUGUUAAUCCUCAAAAUCCCGUUCCCUACCGCUGGAUAUUUCUAAAGCUCUGAUGCAGCAACAUUUCUGCUCUCUGAACGCUCUGGAUCUGAAACGCUGCUUCUGCCGUCGGCUGGCAACGUCUCCGUCUUGACGGCGCGCGGUCACGCCGAAGCGUGCCCCCACCCAUCAGUACCCCCAACGCAGCGCCAGGGCUGCGCCUGCCCCUCCACGCGCUGGGGGCCCUGCGGCGGCUGCUCCGCGGACGUCCUUGGGCCAAGAGCGCGCUCUUAGGCACUCCUGCAGCCUUGCGGGAGGCUGCGACGUGCCUUUCGGGUUGCCGAAAAUACGCUGUGUUGCUCCUGGCUCGUCUGCGCUUUCCCACCUCCCGUCCUGAGCUGUUCCCCUCAGCUCCCUUUCGGGCCUCUCAGGCACAGCGUCCUGUUAUGCUGGUCAUGUUUUCUGCAUCCACUGAGGCGGAAGGCAUGGCAGCAACUACAAAUGUUUCAGUAUUUUUAUUCACAUGUUAUGGAAAAAAAUCAUACUGUGUUUUGUCUGUUACCCUUCCACAAUCCUAAACAAACAUCUUCCUUAAAAAAAGAAAAAAGUGGCAAAAUACCACUUAGCAACUGGACAGAAAAUAGACAGUGAUGCACAAGGGAAAUCACUUUCAGACAAAAUAGGUCACCACUGUGUGAAUAGAGUUAAAGUGUUCCAUCACAACUCCGCUGCCAAAUCCAGAUAACAUUCAUGUGGGUGUAAAAAGGUGUCUGUAGUGCAUCCAGCAAACCUUAGAAACACUCUGGAAGGGAAUAAAUACAUUUACAUAAUAAUGAUGCAAAGCAUUUCUGGAUUUAUUAGUGUGAUGCCAGAAGAAUUCUUACCCUGGGUAAAGAAGGAUUCUGCAAACAACUUUUGUCUCUUCUCAGAUGCUGAUCUGUUUCCUGCAUGUGCAUAAAACUUUCUGACACUUCCCUUUUGCCGCAAAGUUUACUGUCAGCGUAUGUAGAGACCAUAAACUUAUCUGCUCAGUCAGCAGCCACAGAGGUUUAUUACAUGGAUAAUUGACUUAGUUCUGGCCUGAAUUGUUUUUUCUUUGCAGUUUUAGAUAACAUUUCUUCUCCCUUUGUUAGCCCUUGCAUCUAUUAUAGGCCACAUAUGUCAGCAAAUGUGUGUAUGUAACUUUGUAAAAUUAUCUCUUUUCAAAAGUCUUUUAACAUGGCUCUUUUUUUCAAAUUACCGUCAUUUUGCCAAAUGAAUAAAAUAAAAAUCUAUGAGAAAAAACAUAGCUAGGAACUGUCAAGUCAAAACCCACCAAUACUGGGAAUUCUGCAAACACCAUUUCAACCCAACCAGUUAAACGAAAAGAGAGAGAGAGAGAGAGAAUUUUUAUUCUACAGUCAUGAAAUUACAAACUAGUCCUUGACCAUGACAGAUGAGUCAGGUCCAACCUCAGCAAUGCAGUAAAAACUGAGCUCGAAUGAAACAGGCAAAUGUCAAUACAGCGAUUAGCUUGGAAGAUAAUAUUCUGAGAGGCUUUUACAGAUGACCUAACUCCACUCACAAAAAAAGGAUUAUAUUCUUGCUUUCCCUUCCUAAUAUCUGAAAAUCUGCCCUUUAAAUGAAAAUGGUUUGCUGUGGGCAUUUUUUUAUGUUUUCUUUUGUUUACUGUAGGAAUCCUGGAAAUGUAGGAAUUUCAAAUCUCAUUGUCACACGUAUUACUAGAGGACUUUUUGGAAGUGUCAUAGCACUCGAAGGACAACACACUGGAUGGAUGCAAACCCGUUCUAGUCACAGUUAUCUCUAUUUAAAACAGGCUGUGUGGGUUGCAAGGAAAGCAAAAGUAAUGUAAAUGAGAUUUAAAUCAGUUUGAGCAUAUUCACACAGAUUCAAGUACACACAAAUUUACAAUGGCUCAACAAAAUCUGUUAAAAAGAACCAUCUUAUUCAUUAAUCUGAUGCAACCCGGAUUGUAGAAAUGGAUUGCAGUUGGUGGUUUUUGCAGUUGUUCCUGGUAGGGAAUGAUAUGUGUGCAGCCUGUGCCAGUUAUGCCUUCUGUCCCCUGAGUACAAGGUCUUUGGGGCAGAAACUAUAGCCUUGAUUCAGAAGAAAAACAUUGAAUAUGGAUGAACUACUGAAUUGGGAUCUGUCUUUCUUGUUCUUUGUUGAACCACUUACUACUGUAACAAGUGACGAAGUGUUUCCCAAAUAUUUGUGCGUUAGAAAAAUAAAGAGUCGUAAACAAACCA